AGCAGUGAAUGCCACUAUAUUCUCCAGGUGAAUUUGGUUUGCCAACAGAAUCAGGUCAUCAGUGCCCGUGCCUGAAGAGUGUCUGAAACCUCUGCUGUAGGUUUGAUGUAGACAGCUGAGACGCGAGCAGGAAGAAGUUACCACAGCAGCUGUCAGAGCUACAUCUUCAAGAACACUCAGGAAUGGAAAAACUCCAAAUGUCCAUGGUGUUAAUAUAAACACUGGUGCCAGAACGUCCAAGACCGAAGACCUAGCUCGAAGACCUGGCACACAGUUGACUCUGCUCAUCUGAUUUUUGGAAGAUGAUUUUCUGGAAGAAAUCGAAGAUGGGAAAGAAAUGGUGUGGGCUAGGGAAGACCAAACCUUGGAGUCCUGGGACAUGGUAAGACAGAAUUUCCCACAGUCUUUCCCAGAUAAGGUGAUUUAAGUUGAGGAACUUUUCCAGAUGCUGUGUCAGGGAUCUGUCAUUCUCAUGCAGACUGGCUUCAGAAAGACACUGACCCAUCAGGCCAAAAUGCUGAACUAUGUGAUCAUCCAUCAAUCCCCAAGACCACAGAAGAGGGAGAGCAGGGAAGAGUCCAUCCUUUCUGGGAAUUGUUGGGACCAUCCUCAACCUACUUGUCAUUAUUUUGUCUACAUCUAUACCUCUAUCUGACACAAGACUGUUGAAUAUUAUAUUAUGUGGAUGAAAUAUGAUAGACCCUAGUCUGGUUUGGUACAAUAUUUUAUUUUUGGAGGCUGUGUGGGAUACAAAUAAAGCGUGUUUAAUGGAUAGUGCUGUACCACAAACUGAUUGUUCAGUGAGCUGGUUACAUAGGACCUUACUGUUAAAUUCAAUAUGACAUCUAACCUAAGCUCUUUUAAGACAAGUAAAUGAUCAUCCCAGUUAGGCAGGUUUUCUCUGUUGUUUCAGGUAAAAAGACUGUUUUCCUAUUUCCGUAGUAUCUAAAGAAUCUAAAUUGUUGUGAAGGAGUUUAAUGGUUAUUAUUUACUGAUCACUUGUGAAGCUCACUGAAUUUAUUGUCCAUUUACUGCAGUUGUACUUUGUACAAUCUCCUUUACUUCCACAGAGACAAACAGAAUUUUGAAAAGCAUUAAAAAUGAAAUAUUUUUAACAGUGCAUGUCUGUUCGGGAAAUACUAUGGCGUUUUACUCUUUUUAUCCUAAAUUAAACAAACAUGCACUUUUAUGACUCCAUAUUCACUGAAUUCAUUUAAAGGGAUAGUUCGCACAACGAUGAACUA